rnacentral:rRNA from 1 species
GACGUAGGGCGCAAGCGUUGUCCGGAUUUAUUGGGCGUAAAGAGCUCGUAGGCGGCUUGUCGCGUCGACUGUGAAAACCCGUGGCUCAACCAUGUGGUCUGCAGUCGAUACGGGCAGGCUAGAAUUCGGUAGGGGAGACUGGAAUUCCUGGUGUAGCGGUGAAAUGCGCAGAUAUCAGGAGGAACACCGGUGGCGAAGGCGGGUCUCUGGCCUGUUCUUGACGCUGAGGCGCGAAAGCUAGGGGAGCAAACGGG